GAAAUCUGAAUUGAUUGUCCAAAGGUUUCCAUUGGACCCUGUUGCCUCUCAUUAUUCAGAAAAUCCUCAGUUUCUUAAGUUACAAAUGCMUUUAAACAAUGACCAAGUCAUGCCGCAACAGGCACUGGGAACAAAUGAACAACUGCAGCAAGAAAUAGCUAAGCUUGGGUCUGAAAUCCCAACACUGAAAAAAGAGUGAGGCCAAUAAUGCUCAAAAGGGCCUAAACGGUCACUCACUUCCAAAAAGACUAUUAGACUGCUGGAUGACACUUUCAGUACAGGUGGAAGUAGCACCCAGUGGUGAUUGUGAUUACACAUGGAAGACGUUUUUACUGGACUUCAGUUUGUCACUUAC